rnacentral:rRNA from 1 species
CUGAUCUCAAAUCAGGAGGACUACCCGCUGAACU